rnacentral:rRNA from 1 species
UACGUAGGGCGCAAGCGUUGUCCGGAAUUAUUGGGCGUAAGAGCUCGUAGGCGGUUUGUCGCGUCUGCUGUGAAAACUCGGGCUCAACUCCGAGCUUGCAGUGGGUACGGGCAGACUAGAGUGCGGUAGGGGAGACUGGAAUUCCUGGUGUAGCGGUGGAAUGCGCAGAUAUCGUAAGGAAGACCAGUGGCGAAGGCGGGUCUCUGGACAGUUCCUGACGCUGAGCACGAAGGCCAGGGGAGCAAACGGG